rnacentral:rRNA from 1 species
AUUGAACGCUGGCGGCAGGCCUGACACAUGCCAGUCGAACGGUAACAGGAAGCAGCUUGCUGCUUCGCUGACGAGUGGCGGACGGGUGAGUAAUGUCUGGGAAACUGCCUGAUGGAGGGGGAUAACUACUGGAAACGGUAGCUAAUACCGCAUAACGUCGCAAGACCAAAGAGGGGGACCUUAGGGCCUCUUGCCAUCGGAUGUGCCCAGAUGGGAUUAGCUAGUAGGUGGGGUAACGGCUCACCUAGGCGACGAUCCCUAGCUGGUCUGAGAGGAUGACCAGCCACACUGGAACUGAGACACGGUCCAGACUCCUACGGGAGGCAGCAGUGGGGAAUAUUGCACAAUGGGCGCAAGCCUGAUGCAGCCAUGCCGCGUGUAUGAAGAAGGCCUUCGGGUUGUAAAGUACUUUCAGCGGGGAGGAAGGGAGUAAAGUUAAUACCUUUGCUCAUUGACGUUACCCGCAGAAGAAGCGCCGGCUAACUCCGUG